AGCCCCUACCAUUGCAAGUCCUACACGGCUGCUGCUACUACUAUCCUGUGAGAUAAUUGAUUGCUAUUGUGCCCAUGAAUACCUGUGAAGUCUUGGAGUUUCUUCUUGCCUUUGUGCCUCUGCCUUGUGCUAGGAUGGUCUACAGUACAGCCCCGAUUUUCUGACAAAUUUCAGAGACUUUGGAGAAGCAGGCACUGGUUCUACAUGGAUCAUGGUUGUUUGGCUCGCCCCACUCCACCCACCAGCCAGAGGUUGGGGCACAGAGGUUACCUAACUCCACAUGCAUGGCAUUCCAGCUGAGGAGUGGCCAAACCCCCGACUCUGCUCCCCGGCAGGAGCACCAAGUGGCAGAGCAAGGCAAGCCCCCACACCCCAACCCCACUACACCCCUGCCUCAACCAAGCUUCACAAUCA